rnacentral:rRNA from 1 species
UGGGGAAUAUUGCACAAUGGGCGCAAGCCUGAUGCAGCCAUGCCGCGUGUAUGAAGAAGGCCUUCGGGUUGUAAAGUACUUUCAGCGGGGAGGAAGGGAGUAAAGUUAAUACCUUUGCUCAUUGACGUUACCCGCAGAAGAAGCACCGGCUAACUCCGUGCCAGCAGCCGCGGUAAUACGGAGGGUGCAAGCGUUAAUCGGAAUUACUGGGCGUAAAGCGCACGCAGGCGGUUUGUUAAGUCAGAUGUGAAAUCCCCGGGCUCAACCUGGGAACUGCAUCUGAUACUGGCAAGCUUGAGUCUCGUAGAAGGGGGUAGAAUUCCAGGUGUAGCGGUGAAAUGCGGAGAGAUCUGGAGGAAUACCGGUGGCGACGGCAGCCCCCUGGACGAAGACUGACGCUCAGGUGCGAAAGCGUGGGGAGCAAACAGG